GGGGCCCCGACGCUCACGUUGUGCGACGCCGCGUCUCGGCUGAGCUGGGACCCCGGCCGGCCGCUGGCAGGAAGCAGGAGCUCGGGGUGAGCGCGCUGGUCUUUGAGUCAAAGCCAGUUCCUGCCUGAUGGACGAUGAAGAAAUGAUUUCAAGAUCCAGUCACAGCUUUCAUCUUGUGUGCCCACAGAGGGACCAGCUCCAGAGGAUUCCAGCACUGGACAACAGACAUGGUUUAUCCUUCACUGCACCCAGGGAGCCGAAUGAAGCUCAUUUACUCUGGAGACGUGGAGUUCUGCCCAGCCCCAGUCCUCACACAUUCCACCCUAAUGAGAAAAGAGAAGCAGGCAAGCCUUCUUGAUCUUUGGAGUCCUAAAGCUGCUUCCCUAAACAGGGAGGAAAUAUCAGCCUUGGGCUUUUUCUCUAGCCCAUGACACUGGGCCAGAAGCCACUGCUGCCUCCUGGGAUCAGUGCCCUGUAGGUGCUGAGAGCUCGUUCCUGAAGAAGGAACCUGAAGUAUCUGUGUGAGCAUCUAGGACAACCUGACUGACAGGAGAUGUUCAAAGAAUAUUUGUCAAAAGAAAAGAGUGGCUGCUGAGCCUGGAGAUGAGAGCACCACCUCCAGAGACUUACAGGUGGGCUGUGAAAUGGAAGAAGUCCACUGCUGCAUGAUAGCUCUAGGAUCCGGGGUAGAUUUCAGCUCCCCUCAAGAAAGGACUAAGAGUGUGAGCUGCUUGGGCAGUUAGGCCCACUGUGGCUGGAGGCACUGAGCAGAGGCUGGACGACGCCCCUGGGCAGGGAUACUGUAACGUUCUGGAAGAGGUCCCCGUGCGGGGCAGGGCUUGGUGUGACAGCGUCCCCACGUCCUCUUCAACCACAAGAGCCUGGGUCCCAUGUCGCCAUCCAGCAGCACCCCAAGCACCGUCCAGAUCCCCUUCACUGUGUACUGAGGACUUCUCCUUGGAAGACCACCACACCCAGGAGGGCCUGUUUUUAUUCACGGAUUCUUGUGAUUUUAUUUUUAUAUGGAAAAUAGAUACUUUUUAGCAUAAUGUCUGUCCGCCUGCAGCAGGAUUCCUGGGGUACUGAAAUUUAGACUGUGGGACUUCCCGGUUCUACCCAGUCAGAGUCUCCGGGUGGGGCUCGGGAAUCAGGAUUUGGAGGAGCGGCCCGGCUGAUCCUCGCACAAGUAGAGUUUGAGGGUUGCCAUGUCCGGGUCCUCCCACGCCUGCCCUACAAGGAGCCACAGCUGUUCCCGAGGAGGAGCUGCGGAGUCUCGCUGUGUGCCCUUGACCUAGCAGACUGGAUGGACGGAGAGAAAGCAAAGACGGCCCCGAAGGAAAAAGGAGCGCCCAGUUCACCGCUAAGAGUCUUGACUUUCAGAUGGAGUAAGGCGCUCCUUCAAGCUAGAGAAAGUGUGCGUGGUUGCAAAAAAAAAAAACAAAAAACAAAAAACAAAAAACUAAAAGUAAGGGAAAUACCAGGAAACGGAUAAAUGUGUGUUGAAGACAAGCCAACAGCCACUGGCGCUCGGAGGAUGAUACAAGACUGUAGGCCAGGAGAGCUGGAAGAACGGAGGGUAUCCCCGUACCUCAGGUAAGAGUUAAUAGAAGGGAAAUGUAAAACCCUUCCAGGGGGUCUACGUUUGCCCGACUGUGCCACUGGCCGGCCUUGACUGGCUUACCCGAACACCCGCAUGCAAAGAGAGUUUCUUGGGAGCAGCUCCUCUAUAACCUCCAGGGUCAGAGCGGCCCCAGUGGUGAUGGACGUGGGGCGGGGGGCUGUCCCUCCUUUGUGGUUCCUGGCCUGGGAGAGGCUGACCCUGAACAGGGAGCUCACUGUCCCACGACAGAGACCUACAUCCUACGUCUUUCUUAAAUCCUCAGAAUGGGAAUCUGGGUCUCAUGUUUACAGACACCAGAUGGGCCCGAGUCCCUAUUAGGAGCUCUCUGUGCAGCUGAGGGGUCCCUCCCACUGCGCUGGGCUCCAGUUCACUCGUAACCCCUUACACGUCUGCUUGCUCCUUCCCAGAACCUGCUGUUAAACAGACGGCCAGUCUCAAGGGCUUCCGGUAAGUGUCCUUACACUGUGAUUAUAAACAUAAUAGGAUUUGCCAAUGAGAGCCUUCUCUCACAUAUCACAAGGUCAAUCUCUGCAGCCCCUACUACGGGCUUCUAAUGGGAGCCAUGAAAUCAGGAGCCUGAGCUACCAACUGGUGGCCCACAGGGUGUCCCUGACCCCGGAGUGACCACCUCCUGGUUCUGCGAAGGGACUGCCCCCUCCCCCUGCUGCCAGGGACCAGGAACGUCCAAGGAGGCAGUGACCCCCGAGGGUUCUCAGGGCAGCUGAGCAAAAUGCAUAGCUCCUCAUCAGAAAAGGAAGGCAUUUCCUUUGUUAGAACUCCAAGCAGCAGGCUCCAAUUUCGGGGUCCAAUUUGGGGUAAUCAGAGCUAUUCAGGUACACAUGAGGUGAAAGGAAAGGGCUUUUGACGUUUUGUAGGACACACAACUAUUCAAUAAACUCAAAGCACGCUGGUGAGUUCACACAGACUGUUACUUCCUUUAAUAACGCAAAGGUGUAAACUUCAUCAAGGCCUCGCUGAUUAUCUACACAACAGUGUUAGCAUUCUUAUUAGUAACAAACGUGAUCCAAACCUGCCGUAUAAAUAUUUCAGAAGUGAGCAAAGGAACCCCGCGGCGUGCGGAGUGUGGUAGCGCUGGACAGGGCACAGCGGUGGGGGCAGCUGAGGUGGUAUGUGCUUCCCCCCAGCCCAACUCCGGGGACUCAAAGGGCUGCUACCUUGGGGACUGCUGGCAGGGCCAGGGGCCGCAGCUGCCACUGAGAACGGUGUCCAGUGGGAGUGGGUGUGCCCUAACGAGGUCUCUUAAAAGGCAUCCCGUUACAGACCAGGGGCCUGCCUGCAUUGACCCCAGAGUAGCUUCGGCUGAGGUCCUGCCUCGCCCGGGGUGUGUGUGGGGUGGGACAGGGCUGUGUCAGGCUUCCCUAUACUUUGGCUAGAUCUCCAAAGAGUCCCUCCGGAAACAGGACACUGGCCCUCCCCUGUGGGUGGGACCAGGGUCAGGCUCGGGUAGAACCCCUCACCACCACCAAGGGCCCUCCUGGGUGAACAUGGGACUUCUGCCCCACAUGCUAUCAAGAGCGUGCCAGGAGCCGGGAGGACAGUGAUGGGCCACUCAUGUGAGGACAGAUCUCGCCUUCCCUCACCCUCCCCAGAGCUCUCGAUAACUGACCUGGGAUUCUUACGCCAGGCCCGGAGGCACCACGUGUCUCUCCUCCAUGCUCCGACUUGUGCCUAAGAACCACGCUUGCUUCUCUUGUGCUGGUGUGAAGGCAGGGCAGGGACCCCAGGGGCAGAGGUUCGAGGUGGGGCUGGGGAGGGAGGCAGGGCUCAGGCAAGAGGCACUACCUGCCUGAGCUACUGGGAAAAGUGCGGCCUCCGGUGUCUAUCAUGAGCCUCUAAAUGGUGAGUGCUGGGGGACACGAGCCCGUGCCAAGUGACACGGGCAGCACUGCCCUGCAGACGGGAUCACUGGGGUUCCCAAAGGGAAAGACUAGUCUUCAAACGUUAAUUUAAAAAAAACAACAACAAAAAACAAUACAACAAACAGAACUAAAAAAUAAACAGAACAAAAAUUAAACUUCCGUGGGAUGUUUAGAGAUGAGAUAUGUAGAAUGAUGUGACCACAAUGGAGGGAGAGAGGUUUUAUCCACUAGAAGGUCCAUCCCCGAGCACGCACAGGUGUUACUGAGCAGGAGCCUGCCGUCUCCAUGUGACUCUGCGAGCACACUGUGCCUCCUUCCAACAGCAGAGAGCACUAGCUGGUGGUCACCAGAAUUUUUUAAAGGUCACUAAAGCCACUGACCACACAGGCGGUUGGGGCAUUUGGGAAGUAGGACAGGCUGGCCUGGUCGCAGCGUGUAAACGCUCUGGACUGGGCAGUCCGGGAGUGACCUGUCCCCACCCUCUGCUCUUGUGAGUGUGUCGGGGUGGGGAGCGCGUGAGCCACGCCUGGCUUGCGGUGGGGACUGGAGUGUAGGCGAGACUGUCGGACCACAACACCCGAGACGCAAGGCUCUGUGCAGCUCGAAUCACUCCGACUGGGGGGGACACCCGUCCUACACAGCUGAUGGGCACUAGGUGCGUCAUAGGCUGGCCCUUUGGGCAGCACCAACCAGCAUAGGCUGCUGGCUGUGAUACCAGGGCCAGAGCGCCUCCCAGAAAAUGCCUAACAAAUCCAGUUUCUUCCACUGGAUGGGCAACGUGAUGGCUCUGCCCAUCAUGUCAGCAAAAUGCCUGGGCGUGUCCCAGGAGUCUGGCUCUCUUACCACAGGCGCUUCAGGCAAGCGAAGCCAGCUGCUUUCGGAAGGGCAGAGGAGGAGCACGUGGUCAUCCCAACAAUCUGAUGCAAGCUUUAGGGGUACUUAGACAUUUUCCUCUGCUACAUCAUUUUCAAGUCCCAACAACAUGGCCAGGAAAGUCCAAGCAAGCACAGAACUACCUCAACACAGCACACAGCAGAGCCCUUGCAGGGUCUCCAACUGCUCCGGCCCCACAGGCUGAUGCCAGGGGCAGCACUCAGCACGGGAACGCAGCACAACCCAGCCACAUGCCUAUGUUGCCUAGGUUGGGCCACAGGUGCCGUCGGAAAUCUCUCUCGCUGCAAAGGGCUGACUUCAACCUGUCACUCCCCCAACUCCUAAGUGUCCCAUAAAGGCUGAACACAGACGGACACACUCCAGACUAUUGAGUUCAAUGAAAAAUGGACCAAAGAGCACAAAGAAAGAAGGGGCACAGGAUGGUAGGGCCACCUCUGGACAUGGGCUGAGCAGGAGUGAGAACACCUCUUGCAGCCAUGCCCAGUGCCUUUACUGCUGCCUGUUGGCACUAAGAGCCCUGCCUGACAACGUGGAGGGUAGGACUGAUCAGCGUCUGGCCUGCCUGCUCCCUGGAGCCCCGCAUGUCUGUCAGACACACGCAUUCAUGCACACUCAACCAUCGCAAACCACAGUGGUCUUACUUUGCCAUCUCCUUAACCCACUCAUGCACACGCAGGCCCACGUCCUAGGCGGCCACAGCCUUUCUCUCUUUCUCCCGCUGGGAGGCGCUAUUGUGACAACUGAGCAGAGCCCCCAGGCAAGCAUCAGAGACAGGACAGGCAUGAGGGGGCCACACUAAGGCAGCUGGGAGACUGGGACAUCUUCCUACUAUGCUUGAAGAUGCAGAGAGUUUACGGGAACCCCUUCCAACAGGCUGCACUAUAGGGCCGGUGUCCCCCUCUCCUGCCUGUGGCUGGCACUGGCUGAUCUGGAGAAGCAGAGUGGUGUUGAAGACUGCCUUCUGCUCUGAAGUCUGGUCAAUGCGGAGACUAACCACCAGCGGCAAGGGGGCUGGGCCAGCAGGCAGGACUCUCACUUUGUUCCCACACUUGAGUUGGUCCUGGAUCCCUAGCGACAAGUCUGUGUCUCCUAGGAGAACGACUCCCGUCAUGGUCGCCAGCGGAUGCCUUUCACAGAUGGCGUUUGCCAACAUCUCCUUUCUCCACUUGCUCUGUUUCAAGCGAUUCAAUUUAAUCUUUGUUGCAGUGGAGAGGCCCUCAGAAAAUGGGAUUUUUAACUAACUGGCACCGUCUCUUCCUUCUCUUGGGGUCCCCACAGAGAAGAGGUCUGGACCAUGAUGGUGCAAUAAGCAAGCAUCGAAAAGAAAGCGCUUAAAAACAAUUAGGGGGUCCUUGUAUGGAAUGGCAGAGGGUAGAUAAGGUCUCAAAAAAAGAUCCUUACUCAACCAACUGCCAAGGCUUGGCUGGAGCUGGGUUUUUCCCAUCUGAGGAGUCCCGCGGGCCGGCUUAGCCUCCGUCCUCCAGGGCUGAAUGACAUAGGACCGUUGCCCCAGGAUGCUUGGCCAAGCCUUCCCAGGGGUCCAAUACAUCUCAACCCACUGCACAGAUAGGUACAAAGCACAACGAAGCUUUGCACGGGCGACCAAUCAUGAGGAUGGCUGGCAGCAAGCAAGUUGUCAGGGGCUGUUCAGGCACGUUAGGAAGUGAAGCAUUGUGCAUUAAUUCCAAGCGGGAAACUCACAGAAAAGCAGAGGCCGUCAUACCUGGGAUGGCCGUGGGCUGGGCCGAGGUCCUGAACACAAAGUGAGCCGCCUUGGACUUCCCCUGCUGGUUCUCAGCCACCACGUAGACCUCAUACUCCGCAUUCCAUUCCAGGGACUUGAGCAUGACGUGGUCACUGCCAGACGGGAGCCGGAUCUCUGGUUUCCACUCGGAGGAGAGCUUCUGGGAGAAACCGGCAGGAAGGACACAAGACACCAGGACAGUUUAGAUGAAAAUGCUGGUGAGACCCACUCACGGGAAGAGCUUCAGGGAGUCACUACUAUUAGUACAAAAUAAUACAAAUAAAAACCGACUUGAGGCCAGGGUGGUUGUCCUUUACCAGCCUGAAAACCCCUAAGGAUGAUGAAGGUCAGGAGGUCAACCUCGCAUUUUGUAAGCACAGCGGCUGAUGGCGGGUGCCAUAGGGCAACCCUCCAGUGUCUUGUCCCAUUGCCAUCCAGGGCACCCAGGGACUCAAGAACAUUCCGGAAGAUGUGGCAUAUGGACACCCCAGAAGAGCCAUGCAACGAAUAUGCUUCUUGUCCGGUUUCAGGAUGUUGCUCCCACUCAGCUGUGUGACUCACCAUCCCACACGGGAACGUGGCAUAGGUUCAUUUUGUUAAUAAAAACUACCAUUUGUU